rnacentral:rRNA from 1 species
CAGUAGCCGCGGUAAUACGAAGGGUGCAAGCGUUACUCGGAAUUACUGGGCGUAAAGCGUGCGUAGGUGGUGGUUUAAGUCCGUUGUGAAAGCCCUGGGCUCAACCUGGGAAUUGCAGUGGAUACUGGGUCACUAGAGUGUGGUAGAGGAUAGUGGAAUUUCCGGUGUAGCAGUGAAAUGCGUAGAGAUCGGAAGGAACAUCUGUGGCGAAGGCGACUAUCUGGGCCAACACUGACACUGAGACACGAAAGCGUGGGGGGCAAACAGGAUUAGAUACCCCGGUAGUCCCUGUCUCUUAUAC